rnacentral:rRNA from 1 species
UACGUAGGGCGCGAGCGUUGUCCGGAUUUAUUGGGCGUAAAGAGCUCGUAGGCGGCUUGUCGCGUCGAAUGUGAAAUCUCAGGGCUCAACUCUGACAUUGCAUUCGAUACGGGCAGGCUAGAGUUCGGUAGGGGAGACUGGAAUUCCUGGUGUAGCGGUGAAAUGCGCAGAUAUCAGGAGGAACACCGAUGGCGAAGGCAGGUCUCUGGGCCGAUACUGACGCUGAGGAGCGAAAGCGUGGGGAGCGAACAGG